rnacentral:rRNA from 1 species
UACGUAGGGGGCAAGCGUUGUCCGGAAUCAUUGGGCGUAAAGGGCUCGUAGGCGGUCUGUUACGUCGGGAGUGAAAACUCGGGGCUCAACCCCGAGCCUGCUUCCGAUACGGGCAGACUAGAGGUAGGCAGGGGAGAGCGGAACUCCUGGUGUAGCGGUGGAAUGCGCAGAUAUCAGGAGGAACACCGGUGGCGAAGGCGGGUCUCUGGGCCGAUACUGACGCUGAGGAGCGAAAGCGUGGGGAGCGAACAGG